AACACACCACUCUCAUCAAUGGACAGAUCAUCCAGACAGAAAAUGAAUAAGGAAAUAAUGGGCCUAAACGAAAAGCUAGAUGAGACGGACUUAAUAGACAUAUACAGAGCACUCCAUCCAAACACAGCAGAUUACACAUUCUUUUCAAGCGUGCAUGGAACGUUCUCAAGAAUAGAACAUAUUUUGGCAACCGAAGCAAACAUCA